rnacentral:rRNA from 1 species
UAAAGAGCUCGUAGGUGGUUCGAUACGUCGGAUGUGAAAAUCAGGGGCUCAACCCNNGACCNGCAUUCGAUACGGUCGAGCUAGAGUUUGGUAGGGGAGACUGGAAUUCCUGGUGUAGCGGUGGAAUGCGCAGAUAUCAGGAGGAACACCGAUGGCGAAGGCAGGUCUCUGGGCCAAUACUGACACUGAGGAGCGAAAGCGUGGGGAGCGAACAGGAUUAGAUACCNUGGUAGUCCACGCCGUAAACGGUGGGCGCUAGUUGUGCGAACCUUCCACGGUUUGUGCGACGCAGCUAACGCAUUAAGCGCCCCGCCUGGGGAGUACGAUCGCAAGAUUAAAACUCAAAGGAAUUGACGGGGCCCCGCACAAGCAGCGGAGCAUGCGGCUUAAUUCGACGCAACGCGAAGAACCUUACCAAGGCUUGACAUAUACAGGAAUACGGCAGAGAUGUCGUAGCCGCAAGGUCUGUAUACAGGUGGUGCAUGGUUGUCGUCAGCUCGUGUCGUGAGAUGUUGGGUUAAGUCCCGCAACGAGCGCAACCCUCGUUCUGUGUUGCCAGCAUUUAGUUGGGGACUCACAGGAGACUGCCGGGGUUAACUCGGAGGAAGGUGGGGAUGACGUCAAAUCAUCAUGCCCCUUAUGUCUUGGGCUGCACGCAUGCUACAAUGGCUGGUACAAACGGCUGCAAUACCGCAAGGUGGAGCGAAUCCGAUAAAGCCAGUCUCAGUUCGGAUUGGGGUCUGCAACUCGACCCCAUGAAGUCGGAGUUGCUAGUAAUCGUAGAUCAGCAACGCUACGGUGAAUACGUUCCCGGGGCUUGUACACACCGCCCGUCACGUCACGAAAGUCGGUAACACCCAAAGUCAGUGGCCCAACCGCAAGGAGGGAGCUGCCAAAGGUGGGAUCGGUGAUUGGGACG